GGCACGAAAAUAGAGCCCUUUAUGUUUAGAACUUAACUUUGAAAAUAGCAGUGUUUCCCCCAGGUGUAUUUACAUUCAGUAAUUGCAUUUAGACCACAGAAGACAAACUCUGAAGAAAUAGUCGAGAAACACUGACUUAAUUGAAACUAUUGAAUGGCAGUUGUAUUCUCUGAAUUACACCUUUUAUGACUAUUUUAAUGCCCAUUUUGCAAACUCUGUUCAUGUAAACAUAGCAACACAUGGUUUUCUCAGUCAAAGCUUUUUCUGUCGGACAAUUAUUGUUCGUUAAUAAAACAAUCCUAACUGAGAGAGCCCAUUAAUGAAGUUAUUUAGAUUAUAAUGAAUUGGUUGGGACUGCCAUGCUGUUGCUAGAAGAUAAAGCAUUAAAACUAGGGUUGUUUUUUGAGUUGUUACGACUCAUGACAUAGUUUAUUAAUCAUGGAAACUGUUGCUUUUGCGUUCCAGUUUUUACUUUCCCCUCUAGAAACUUAUGAGCCGUAAUGAUGAGACAUUUGUUCGUGGUGUAUCCCUGAAGCUCCCCUAUUUGCCUCGCUGAGUAGGUCCCUUUAUACCCAUACAACAAUUUUUCAACCCAGGAUACUCAAAACAGAACAAUCAUCUAUCAGCUCAAUUAUCUCCCUCCAGGUUGAGCGUUUCUCCUUUGUAACCAUUUCCAAAACAUGAAAAUUAAUGUACUUAGAUACUGGCAGAGGCACGGCUUAUUUCCUCUUUUCAGUAACUCUUAAUGUUACUCAUAUGUUAGAAGUACCAGUGACAGGAUACUGGCAACUGGCGUAACUGGUAGUCGGAUAAUUAAUUAUAUGUAUUGAGUCAUCAAAAAAUCCAAACUUGAUAUUUCAGUGAAGUCAGGUCAUUUUAUAUUGAGUUCUUUUUCCUUUUUCAUCCUCGAGCUGGAGUGGUAAAUAACAGUGUCAGAGGUGUGUUCAUAGACACAGCGGAAUUUGGCUCUCUGUGUUAAUUGUUUGUUAAGUGUCAUUCAUUAACCGCUGUCUGGCAGGACUGCAGUAGAUUGAAGUAGCUGCUGGUGGAGACAUUAAUCAAUCAGCAGAGACUCACUUAGCUUCUAGCUCCCUCAGCUGCUCUUUAUUUGCUGAGUUAAACAGAUACAGCUCUUUGAGUCAGGGUUAAACUCAUGCAGCCUCAAUAUAAAAUUGAUUAAAAUCGAAGUGUAGAAAGAUAGCAAAACCAGAGGCUUGUUUGUCCGAACAAAGCACCUAGAAAUAGAAAUUAGCAGCUUUCAAAAAACUAAGACAGCCGUUAACUUACCCUCAACAGUGACUUCUUGCACUGUGCAGCCAGUGCAUAAGCUGCAGACUCAGAUGCUGUAAUUUAUUGGUUUGUUGCAUCCCCUGCAAAAGAGUCCGUUCAUCUGUUUUAAAGGGGUCUUACUCCAAGUAGACAAUAAGUUACACAAAAGUUUCACCCUGAUGGUUUUAGCUCCAGAGGGACUUGGACUUUCUUGUGAUUUACUUUCAAUCUAUGGCUUCUGUUUGUCUCAGAGAUAUUUUUAGCUUCCUUUUAUUGUGCUGGGACGUUAUUGUGGCAACAGAUGAACACAGAACACGUGUUUUGGUCGACAUCAUCAUUCUGGUAACCGAAAUAAUUCCAGAUAACUGACUAUCCUUCUCUUUCUCUUGUUCGUUGCCCAUUUUGCAAUCAUUGUUGUUAUCGUGUUGUGGCGAGAAAUGCAUGCACCUCGCAAAACGCGCACCGCUUAUAGUAGAGUGGUCUGUGUAAAUGUACAAUUUAAAACCCAAACAAUUCUUAUUUUUGGGCCAAACAGUGUUAAGUAAUGUUCUAAACCUAAUUCUCGGUGGGCAUGCAUUUCUCGGCACAACACUGGCAGCGCCAGCGACUCACGCCAUGUGCAGGGGCGUGGUUUCCUCCUCUCUGA